CCUAUGGAAACUAACCCUUUUAUUCAGGAUAAGACUCAUGCCAUACUCAGGUAAACUAACGUAUUUACCAACGAUGCCUUAGUUCGUUCGUAGCUCCUGCGAUGAUGUGAGGCAGUACUCAUCGAUGCUUGGUAUUUAUGCUCAGGAUCAUGAGUAUGUGGUUAGUAAUCUAGCCGUGAGUACGCUUCCAGCUCGCUGAUUGGUUGAGCCGAUGUGGCACAGCCGCGCACGUUUCGCGCGCGUCUGCCAUUAUUUCAGUUGAAUUCUGUUGCUUGGUGGUGAAAGUGCGUCGCUCGCGUGUGCAGCAUUUUAUGGACUUGGUGUGCAGAAACUGAAACUCGGAUUCCGAGGCCAAUAUUUCUUUUGGAUAUACCAUCGCACUGCUGCCGGGGCUGAUGCCGGUGUAGACGCUCGCCCCGAUCGACGCCGGAUGCUCGCCGCCGGGUGGCUUCAGAAUGUGAAGUCUGCCUGCUCCUGUUCGAUAGGUAAAGUUUCGGAGACACUGGUUCGUCUUCUGGAAACUGCAGUCUCAAGGAUAGCGACGGAGAAAGUGCGCCCAUGGUUUUCCAUGCCCUCGCGCUACUGAGCCAGAAUACCAGUCCAGCACCCUUCGAGCUGCAGUGCGCCGACCUCGCGGUAGGAAGCGGUUCAAAAACUAAGCGAUCUCGCGCAGUGUUUGCGAUCUAUGGGAGUGUUUCAUUGUUUUUUUUACGGACCUCUAAGUGUUGUGUUUAACGGAUUUCGCCCCGUACCCGGCUCUUGAAUUGCAUGUUGGCAGAGAUUUCGUAUGAUGGGUUUUGUAAUAAACUUCAGUGUUUUCCUCGUGUUUGUCACGUCUGCAAGGCGUAAGGUUAACGAACGCAUUUUUGGUUUUAUGCGUUGGCAUCCGCGUUAGUAAGACCCAUCUUAAAUGGGUUAGUAUUAUCAUUAUUCAGGGUUGGUUAUC